rnacentral:rRNA from 1 species
CCUACGGGAGGCAGCAGUGGGGAAUAGUGCACAAUGGGGGAAACCCUGAUGCAGCGACGCCGCGUGAGUGAAGAAGUAUUUCGGUAUGUAAAGCUCUAUCAGCAGGGAAGAAAAUGACGGUACCUGAUUAAGAAGCCCCGGCUAACUACGUGCCAGCAGCCGCGGGAAUACGUAGGGGGCAAGCGUUAUCCGGAUUUACUGGGUGUAAAGGGAGCGUAGACGGCAGCACAAGUCUGGAGUGAAAUGCCGGGGCUUAACCCCGGAACUGCUUUGGAAACUGUGCAGCUAGAGUGCAGGAGAGGUAAGUGGAAGUCCUAGUGUAGCGGUGAAAUGCGUAGAUAUUAGGAGGAACACCAGUGGCGAAGGCGGCUUACUGGACUGUAACUGACGUUGAGGCUCGAAAGCGUGGGGAGCAAACAGGAUUAGAUACCCCAGUAGUC